rnacentral:rRNA from 1 species
AGUGAACGCUGGCGGCGUGCUUAACACAUGCAAGUCGAACGAGAACGGAAUAUAGCUUGCUAUAUUUGUCGGCUAAGUGGCGCACGGGUGAGUAAUGUAUAGAUAACCUGCCCUUAAGAAAGGAAUAACAGUUGGAAACGACUGCUAAUGCCCUAUAUGCCUUUAAUACAUAAGUAUGCAAGGGAAACGCUUUAGUGCUUAAGGAUGGGUCUGUAUGGUAUCAGCUUGUUGGUGAGGUAAUGGCUCACCAAGGCUAUGACGCCUAACUGGUUUGGGAGGAUGAUCAGUCACACUGGAACUGAGACACGGUCCAGACUCCUACGGGAGGCAGCAGUGGGGAAUAUUGCACAAUGGACGAAAGUCUGAUGCAGCAACGCCGCGUGGAGGAUGACACAUUUCGGUGCGUAAACUCCUUUUAUAUAGGAAGAUGAUGACGGUACUAUAUGAAUAAGCACCGGCUAACUCCGUGCCAGCAGCCGCCGUAACAC